GCAGUAGCCGCGGGAAUAUGGAGGGUGCAAGCGUUAAUCGGAAUUACUGGGCGUAAAGCGCACGCAGGCGGUUUGUUAAGUCAGAUGUGAAAUCCCCGAGCUUAACUUGGGAACUGCAUUUGAAACUGGCAAGCUAGAGUCUUGUAGAGGGGGGUAGAAUUCCAGGUGUAGCGGUGAAAUGCGUAGAGAUCUGGAGGAAUACCGGUGGCGAAGGCGGCCCCCUGGACAAAGACUGACGCUCAGGUGCGAAAGCGUGGGGAGCAAACAGGAUUAGAUACCCGCGUAGUCCCUGUCUCUUAUAC
rnacentral:rRNA from 1 species